CUUGUGCUGUCUUGCCUUGCCAGUUCUAUGGUUAGUUGGAGUUUGCCUUUUGAGUUCUUUUGGAUCACUGGUUUUGUUUGGAUUGCUUAUUUAUUUUGGACAUGGACUCAGCCACUCAGUUGGGAGCAGAAAAGAAGGCACCGGGAGCAUAUCAACAUCUCAUCCUUUGGAUUUAGCCAGUAAAGCAAUCCUGAGCCCUUUACAUCUGUCCACAGGCUGUUAUAGCGAAACCAAGACAGUCGGGGAAGGUCUAAUUUUUUAAGUUCUGGUCUGAAUCCAAACUGUAAUGGAACAACUAACGUGUAGGUCUAAGUGCUUUUUUCCUAUUAAAACCUGCUAAAGAU